UCACUCAGUGGAGGAAGAACAAGCAACUGCGAUUGCUUCAGUAAUGGCGAAUGAACUGGCAACACAAAGGCUCAGCCUGAAUGGAAUCCAGCUGCACCAGUGGUGCACUCGGCUCUUGUGUGAUUCAGCAAAUGCUGUGGGUUGAAGGAGCAGGUGGCGAGUUUGGUCAGGCCAUGCACCAAGAAUGUCCCUGGAAUGGGCAACGACACAAGGAUACUGUCCUGUAUGGUGCUGUGUGCUGUGGCUUGGCUUGGCUUUGCUGCUUGCAUCCAAGAGUAGAGUUGCUUGGGACUGCAGUUUGAAGAGCGUGGUGUAUCCUACGCAAGGCAGAAUACUGACAUGGAACCGAUAGCGCACAAGUAGAGUGAUUGAAGGAUGCAAAGCACCUUGCAAAGGGGGUUCAACGUCCCUGAAGCCUCAGCAGGAACGGCGGAGAGUGGUGUUGUGGUUAUCUGGUCGCCAUCAGGCAACCAGCCCAGUUGUGGUCAUGGCCCCAGCGCCAACACACUGGCUGGCUUGUCCUGAGACCAGGGUCCUGAAGGACCAAACAGUUGGAAUCCAAGCAACCUUGGGCUGGCCCAGAGCUGGCCACUGAGCUCCAUCCAAGAUGUUGGAAUGCAUAUCGUGGCAGUUUGUGGUGACACUCAGCUUACCUGAGCCUGAGGGCAACAGAUCAGAGGUAUCACACAGAGUCAAAGAGUUCUCCAAGAGGAGACAGUUGUGAAGAGCUAUGCCAAACCUGCUUUGUCUCAGGACAUUGCAGUGCACUGGGCCUUGAUAUGUUGAAGCUAUGCCAUGCUGCCUGUUGGCUGCAUCGUCUUGGCGAUGGCUCACUGGUGGUGGAAGCUUUGCAGAGAGCGUUCAGUGCAGAAGGCAGUUGAGCUUGGUCUCAGGAUCACUCUCUGCCCGUCUUGAAACACGGACCAAGGAGUCUAUGGAGCACGCAUAUCUGAUGGUGUUAUCAAGGAAACCACUUGAUGUGGUGAAGGCAACAAACCCAGAUGGUGCAACUGUUGUGGCUGAAUUGGCACUGGCAUGUGGGACAGUCUGUGCUGGAGCCAAGGGCAAACUCAGUGUGAUUCUGCAUGGGACACCAGUCCUGAAGUCCAUUGGACAGGGUUCUGAGUGAAUGCAUGGUCCAUGGGACCCGAAAGGUGGUGAACUAUACCGCGCCAUGGCGAAGCUGUGGGAAACUGCAGUGGAAGCCAGAAGCUGUUCUGACGUGCAAAUUGUGUAGCCUGAGCUCGGCAUAGGGGUGAAAGGCCAAUCGAGCCACCUAGUAGCUGGUUCCCUUUGAAGUUUCCCUCAGGAUAGCUGGGUUCAAAUGCAGAGCUGACUGAUUGGUUAUGUCCAGUAAAGCAACGCAUGAGAGGCACUGUGGGCAGGCUUCCCUGCUCAACCUAUUCUCGAACUGUGAACGGGCCUGGCAAGCCCCAAGCAAGCUUCUUCACUGCACUGAGUCUGUGUCACAGCAGUCUCUCAGUAUCUGAGCGUGUUCAAAGGAUGCAACGGCAAAGCAUGCAGAGCUCCUCUGUGAGCCUUCUCUGUGAAGCCACUCGGCAGUCUCUGAUGUGUGGUUGAAUGCCUUGUUGCUGCCUAGAGCAGAACAGAAGUCCCUCUGUGGACCAGGAUUGGUAAGCAGUGCUGGUGAUGCGGGAUGCUCCGAGAGUGAACUUACAGGACCAGAGUGCUGGCUCAUACACAGAUCCCACAAAGGAUGUUGCCUGCUAGGGAUAGCAGGACGGUGGCCAUGAAGGUUGGAACCCGCUAAGGAGUGUGUAACAACUCACCUGCCGAAGCAAGCAGCUCCGAAAAUGGAUGGUGCCCAAGUCAGUGAAGCUAACGUCGCCUUACAGUCCACCGCUGCUGUGGCAGCAAAGCAGAGCAUCAGCGUGUAAAAGGGCAUUGUUGACUGCUGUCAAUGCUGAGCUUGAGCUUGGCUGAAGUGUCUUCUGGCGCAGAUCUUGGUUGCAGUAGCGAAUACUCCAUCUAAUGAAGAGCAGAUCAAACCUGCUGUGUGCGAUUGAGGACAGGAGUGGAGCAGGCUUCCACACCAAACAGCCGUUGAAUGUGGGUCAGCCGAUCGUGAGCCAAGUGGUAAUUCACCAAACAACCAAAGCUGCUAUGCUGUGUUGGAUCGAGUGUCACCAGACCAGUGUUCAGACCCAUGUCCUGGGCUGCACUGAGAGAGCCUAUUGACUAUCUGACAGAGUCCUGGCAGGACUGGCAAACAGGCAAGCAAGUGCAACAUUCUGCUGUGAUGGGCUUGGGGUCAACAGGGUGGCAACACCCAAGAUGAAGGCAAGCAGGCACAGGGGCAGCGCUGCCCCUGAAGAGUUCUCGUUUCCUCCUGAUAGAUUCAGCCAAGGUGAGCCAUUGAUUGGCAUGACAGAUGAUGGUGUGGGUCACUGCCCAGCAUGGCAAUGCAUUCUCUGUGUUGAUGGACUGAUGUGUGCUCAGCAAGAUCAAAGGAUAUUGAAGCCACAAGUGGUUGGCACUGCCUCCACUGAACAGCCUGUGGGACUUGGUCCCUGAUUCCUUGUUGUCGUACUGAAUCACCGCAGCUGGUCUCCUCGGCAAGACGCCGCUUGUCCACAGACUAAAUGCAGCUAAGGGAAGUCGGCAAACUGGCCAUGUACCCUCGGAAGAUGUGGUGGCUCCAAAGGCCAAGUCACUGGGCCCAGCUGUGGGCAGUCAGCUGUAGUUGUGGCCGACUGGCCAGUGGUCUCGGCCAUUGGUUUCAGUAUCGUGUUGCUUCUGCACUGCUGUCUCGCAGUUGGGGGUGCUGUCCAACUGGGCGGUGCCCAUCUCAGUGUCUACCAAGUGGCUCAUAUGGAACUGUUGCUGUGCAAGGGAAUCUGACUGUUUAAUUGAAACCCAGCUUUGUGAAGGGAUCAGCUGGCUGGUCCCAUGAGGUGACUUCUGCCCAGUGCUCUGAUUGUCAAAGCGAAGAGAUUCAGCCAAGCGCGGGUAAACGGCGGGAGUAACUAUGACUCUCUUAAGGUAGCCAAAUGCCUCGUCAACCAAUUAUUGACGCGCAUGAAUGGAUCAACGAGAUUCCUGCUGUCCCUAGUUGCCGUCUGGUGAACCAACAGCCAAGGGAACGGGCUUGGAUGUGUCAGCGGGGAAAGAAGAGCCUGUUGAGA
rnacentral:rRNA from 1 species